CCAACCUCCCUCCCUCCUCCAGAAAUCUAAUCUCUCUCACUCGUAUCAGCCGUUCGCCACGUCCAUCGCCGGUGGUGGUCUGAUGGCCCUUGGUUCGCCGGCCGAUCCUACGAGUGAUCUCCUUCCACAUCAGCACCGAUGAGAUUCAGUCGGCGGUCACAUCGUCUCGUCGUGCAAUCCAAGCUACAGAUUCUUCUUCACGAUGGCACGACGCGAGUGGAUGUGCGGGCUACUACCGCUAAGGCCUACGAAUGGCCCAUCCUAUCCUAUCCUGGUGGCUCCGGCCCGCCACGAAAACGCAACCCAGCACCGCCGUCAUUUCCGCUCGAGCUAGUGUCCCCCUUGACGGAGAGGAGCAGAGCGGCUCCUCCUCCCCCUCGACGCCAAGCCAACCAGCAGUCAGUCAGGCCAAGCCAAGCAGCAGGCAGCCCCUCCUAAACUCCUCCUGCUAUUAGUACAAGGGGACUACUUCCCUCUGUUCCUUUGCAAGAUGAAGUAGGGCACCGAACCCCCCUCCUAGCUUCUGAGUUUGAUUUUAAAGGUGACCCAUUCUCUUUUGCAAGCUCUUCUCUUGUUCCUCGCUGGACGCACGCAAAAAAAAAGCACUAAGUAGGAAAUGUGCCAUCUGCGGGAGGCCCUCCCCUACCUCCCCCUGUCCUCCUUUGAGGCUCAUCUUUAAUAGGCUUGACAUUUUUUAGAAUCAAUUCAUGUUAACUCUUUCAGAUCUAUAGUCAGUAUUUGAAUGUAAUAGUCAAAUGAAGUAUCUUCUUGCCAUUAUAGUUUAUAUAUUUUCUGCAAGCUUGUUGACUUUAUUCCUUUGCUACUGCAUAUCUAAAAGCAGUGUCGUGUUAGCAUUAAGGCAACUAGUAAUGCACUUAUUUAUCAGCUGAAUUACGUGCUAGUAUUCUUUCUUUCUUUUAAUGUAUGUUUUGUUUGUCUAUUUAAAUAUGAGUCCUUCCUCUUAAUUUCCCUGUUUACCUUGCAUUGUUGUCUUUUCUAUGCAAUUUGGAUAUCGGUUGGGUUGUUGGACCAUCUUCAAGAUUUAACUCCAAAGUGCGUCUGCAAGGAAACCAAAAAAUCAUGAUGUUCUAGCUAGUAGCUUGCUUAAAUGGGCCGGCCGAAAAAGAAACCUGAGUAUCUCAAAGUAAAUGCACACAAUGCAAAGUAAGCUGCAAAGGCUUUGGCUAGGGAAAAAGUGGUGCACUUGGUGCAGUCAUCAUGUGAAGUAAUCUAAAAUUAAGAUUGUGUCUUUGUUGCGUGCUUGUGAAAAUUCAUGUGUUUCCUUACGGAUACAAUGCAACAAAGAGACCUCCUGAUUGGGUGACUGCUCCAGCCGGAUUGAAUCGAGAAAAGUUUAUCAAAGAUUAUCUUUCAAAUGACUAUCUUCCAGUAAAUGCAACUAAACAGCAGUUUGAGAAUCUUUACGGGCAACUUCAUUAGUAUCAUCUAUCUAUUUCUCCUCACUCAUUGGAGAGCAACAAAAAGUGCAACAUUAGGCCAGAGAUUGUGGUUGGUGGGAAAGUUAUCCCUGAGGAGAAGCAUGAUGGGACUCCAGUAACAUCCUAUAUUGAUAAAAAUAUGAAAAAUACAUAUCAUAUCAUACGUGUGUGGGAUGCUAGGAAGAAAGGAAGUUUCUUGGAGUUUCUCUGACAGAACUGUUCUGGUUACGUUUUGGCUUGGAGAGUGUAUGCUCUUCUAGUUUUGUUCAAAUCUGCAAAAUGGUGAUACUUUUGUGAUGAACCUGCUAUUGUGUUAGAUUUGGGACAUAUUUGGACAUUUGUGUUGUCUAAACAACAUUCAACAUAUUCUGUUGUGGAAGAUACAAAAUUUGGAACUGAUUCAAUGGAGGUGGGGGUUGAUGUUCUCGAUGCUAUUUAUCAGAAUGCUACUACCAUGGAUGAGGAUACCAUGGAUGAGGAUGAAGAAUCCAUGGCAGCCGUCCACUUCCUUCUUUUACUCUUUGGUGAAGCGCCGCGGUCUGAAGUUUUCAAGACAAUCAUCUUUAGCACCAUCACAAAAAAGUUAAGCAGUGUCAGGCAAUCGGUCUUGUCUAUGACUCGCUUGCUAAAAAUUGGAAUAAGUUGUGCAAAUGUGCCUGCUAUCUAUGGCUGAUGGUUCUAGAGGCUCUCAUGGAAGCAAACUUAAGGGUUGAGAGACCAAAUGUAAUAAAACCGGCUGAACCUCAUCACACUUUGGUUGAUUUAUUUAAAGAAAUGACAAUACACAAACGAAAGGCCCAACACAAGUGUAGCUCAAUUGCAAUGGAUAACAAUCUCCA